rnacentral:rRNA from 1 species
UGGGGAAUCUUCCGCAAUGGACGAAAGUCUGACGGAGCAACGCCGCGUGUAUGAUGAAGGUCUUCGGAUUGUAAAGUACUGUCAUUGGGGAAGAACGGUUUUCUUGAAAAGAUUGGGAAGACAUGACGGUACCCAAGGAGGAAGCCCCGGCUAACUACGUGCCAGCAGCCGCGGUAAUACGUAGGGGGCAAGCGUUGUCCGGAAUUAUUGGGCGUAAAGGGCGCGUAGGCGGGCCUUUAAGUCCGGUGUGAAAGAUCAGGGCUCAACCCUGAGAGUGCAUCGGAAACUGGAGGCCUUGAGGACAGGAGAGGAAAGUGGAAUUCCACGUGUAGCGGUGAAAUGCGUAGAUAUGUGGAGGAACACCAGUGGCGAAGGCGACUUUCUGGACUGUAACUGACGCUGAGGCGCGAAAGCGUGGGGAGCAAACAGGAUUAGAUACCCUGGUAGUCCACGCCGUAAACGAUGAGUGCUAGGUGUAGAGGGUAUCGACCCCUUCUGUGCCGCAGUUAACACAAUAAGCACUCCGCCUGGGGAGUACGGCCGC